rnacentral:rRNA from 1 species
UGGGGAAUUUUGGACAAUGGGCGAAAGCCUGAUCCAGCAAUGCCGCGUGUGUGAAGAAGGCCUUCGGGUUGUAAAGCACUUUUGUCCGGAAAGAAAUCCUUGGCUCUAAUACAGUCGGGGGAUGACGGUACCGGAAGAAUAAGCACCGGCUAACUACGUGCCAGCAGCCGCGGUAAUACGUAGGGUGCAAGCGUUAAUCGGAAUUACUGGGCGUAAAGCGUGCGCAGGCGGUUUGCUAAGACCGAUGUGAAAUCCCCGGGCUCAACCUGGGAACUGCAUUGGUGACUGGCAGGCUAGAGUAUGGCAGAGGGGGGUAGAAUUCCACGUGUAGCAGUGAAAUGCGUAGAGAUGUGGAGGAAUACCGAUGGCGAAGGCAGCCCCCUGGGCCAAUACUGACGCUCAUGCACGAAAGCGUGGGGGAGCAAACAGGAUUAGAUACCCUGGUAGUCCACGCCCUAAAACGAUGUCAACUAGUUGUUGGGGAUUCAUUUCCUUAGUAACGUAGCUAACGCGUGAAGUUGACCGCCUGGGGAGUACGGUCGCAAGAUUAAAACUCAAAUGAAUUGACGGGGUCAUAGCUG